UACAGAGGGGGCAAGCGUUGUUCGGAAUUACUGGGCGUAAAGGGCGCGUAGGCGGCCUGCUAAGUCGAACGUGAAAUCCCUGGGCUCAACCCAGGAACUGCGUCCGAUACUGGUUGGCUUGAAUCCGGGAGAGGGAUGUGGAAUUCCAGGUGUAGCGGUGAAAUGCGUAGAUAUCUGGAGGAACACCGGUGGCGAAGGCGGGUCUCUGGGCAAUUCCUGACGCUGAGGCGCGAAAGCGUGGGGAGCAAACGGG
rnacentral:rRNA from 1 species